rnacentral:rRNA from 1 species
UACAGAGGGUGCAAGCGUUAAUCGGAAUACUGGGCGUAAAGCGUGCGCAGACGGUUGCGUAAGUCAGAUGUGAAAGCCCCGGGCUCAACCUGGGAAUUGCAUUUGAGACUGCGUAGCUAGGGUGCGGAAGAGGGAAGCGGAAUUUCCGGUGUAGCGGUGAAAUGCGUAGAUAUCGGAAGGAACACCAGUGGCGAAAGCGGCUUCCUGGUCCAGCACCGACGUUCAGGCACGAAGCGUGGGAGCAAACAGG